UUGUCAUACAUAGCUCAGUUGGUAGAGCAAAAGGACUUCUAAUCUCAAAGCCAUGGGUUUGAGACCCACAUUGGGCAAA